rnacentral:rRNA from 1 species
AAUGAACGCUGGCGGCAUGCCUAAUACAUGCAAGUCGAGCGAACAGACGAGGCUUUUUCUCCUCUGACGUUGUCGGCGGACGGGUGAUUCCCACGUGUUUAACCUACCUAUCCGACUGGGGUACCUUCACGGAACCUUAUCUACUACCCGAUCAUAUAUUGAACCUGGUGGUUCCAUAGUUCAAUACGUUUUUGCUGUCACUUAUAGAUUGAUCCGGGCCGCAUUAGUUAGUUGGUGCGGUAACGGCUUACCAAGGCAACUAUUCGUAGCCGACCUGAGAGGGAGAUCGGACACACUGGAACUGAGAAACGGCCCAGACUCCUACGGGAGGCAGCAGUAGGGAAUCUUACGCGAUGGGGGAAAGCGUGAUGGAGCAAAGCCGCGUGAGUGAUGAAGGUCUUAGGAUGGUAAAGCGCUGUAAGUAGGGAGGAAGAAAAGUGAAAGUAACCAUGAAGGUAUUGACGGUACCGAAAGAAUAAGCACCGGCUAACUACGUG